ACAAGGUAGUUAGGGGCGUACGGCGGAUGCCUAGGCACCGAUGGCCGAUGAAGGGCGUGGCAAGCUGCGAUAAGCCGCGGGGAGCUGCAAACAAGCUUAGAUCCGCGGAUUCCCGAAUGGGGAAACCCGACUCGACAAAGCCGAGUCACCUAGCAUCUGCUAGGGGGAUACCCGGUGAAGUGAAACAUCUCAGUAACCGGAGGAGAAGAAAUCGAAGGAGAUGCCCUGAGUAGUGGUGAGCGAAAGGGGUAGAGCCCAAACCGAUCGUGUGUUAAAGCCUGCGGGCGUUGCACGGUCGGGGUUGUGGGAGCGCACCUGAUCCGGCCGCAGACGGAUCGGGCAGUUACAAACCGCAUGGUUAGCCGAAUGGUGUUGGAAAAGUCAGCCAUAGAGGGUGAAAGCCCCGUAGGCGAAAACCAUGCGGCUGCCUGGGUGCGCAUCCCAAGUAAGCCGGAGCACGCGGAAUUCUGGCUGAAUCCGGGCCGACCACGGUCCAAGGCUAAAUACCAUCGGUGACCGAUAGCGCAUAGUACCGAGAGGGAAAGGUGAAAAGAACCCCUGGCGGGGAGUGAAAUAGACCUGAAACCGUAUGCCCACAAGCUGCCGGAGCCACACUUGAAGUCAUCUUCAAGUGUGGUGACGGUGUGCCUAUUGAAGAAUGAGCCGGCGAGUUGCAGCGCGUGGCGAGGUUAAGGGCGGAGACGUCCGGAGCCGUAGGGAAACCGAGUCCGAAUAGGGCGUCAAGUCGCACGUUGCAGACCCGAAGCCGCACGAUCUAUCCAUGGCCAGGUUGAAGUCCGGGUGACACCGGAUGGAGGACCGAACCAAUUGGUGUUGCAAAACCAUUGGAUGAGCUGUGGAUAGGAGUGAAAAGCUAAUCGAGUGCGGUGAUAGCUGGUUCUCCCCGAAAUGCAUUUAGGUGCAGCCUCUUGCGUUCAGUGACGGAGGUAGAGCACUGGAUGGGUGAGGGGGGUGGUGACCCUACCGAACUCAACCAAACUCCGAAUGCCGUCACUUAAAAGCAGGGGAGUGAGACCGUGGGGGAAAAGCUCCGCGGUCGAAAGGGAAACAGCCCAGACCGACGGCUAAGGUCCCCAAUGCGGGCUAAGUGUGGUAAGGAUGUGGAAGAGCUCAGACAGCCAGGAGGUUGGCUUAGAAGCAGCCAUCCUUGAAAGAGUGCGUAAUAGCUCACUGGUCGAGCGCUUCUGCGCCGAAAAUGUAGGGGGCUAAGCUCGCAACCGAAGCCUCGGAUCCGAAAAGCCAGAUCUUUUCGGAUGGUAGGGGAGCGUUCCUGUUGGGCCGAAGUCGCGCCGUGAGGCGCGGUGGACUGGCAGGAAGUGAGAAUGCCGGCAUGAGUAGCGUUAAAGCAAGUGAAAGACUUGCUCACCGGAAGCCCAAGGGUUCCUGGGGAAGGGAAUCCGCCCAGGGUUAGGCGGGACCUAAGGUGUAGCCGAAGGGCGAAGCCGAUGGACAGCCGGUAGACAUUCCGGCCCCACCUUGGUGACGUUUGUACCGAAGGGGUGACGCAGGGAGCUAGGCACGCUGGGCGAUGGAAUGCCCAGUCCAAGGGAGUAGGGGGAGCCUUCAGGCAAAUCCGAGGGCUCGAAACCCCGAGACCUGAUGGGGAGCCUUAAUUAUAAGGCGAAGGUGUUGACGCUGCACUGCCGAGAAAAGCCUCUAGGGAGGAGCCAAGGUGCCCGUACCCUAAACCGACACAGGUGGGCUGGUUGAGCAGACUGAAGGUGUACGGGAUAACUCUCGCUAAGGAACUCGGCAAGUUGACCCCGUAACUUAGGGAGAAGGGGUGCCCGCGUUAGGUGAACUCUUUUACAGGGGUAGCCGAGGCGGGUUGCAGAAACCAGGUCCAGGCGACUGUUUAAUAAAAACACAGGGCUCUGCUAAAGGCGAAAGCCGAUGUAUAGGGCCUGACACCUGCCCGGUGCCGGAAGGUUAAGGGGAGGGGUUAGCCAAAGCAAUUUGGCGAAGCUCUAAACCGAAGCCCCGGUAAACGGCGGCCGUAACUAUAACGGUCCUAAGGUAGCGAAAUUCCUUGUCGGGUAAGUUCCGACCUG
rnacentral:rRNA from 1 species